rnacentral:rRNA from 1 species
CCUGCUGGAGAGCUUGCUCUCUGGUAGAGUCGAGCGGCGAACGGGUGAGUAACACGUGGAUAACCUGCCUCUGGGUGGGGGAUAGCCCGGGGAAACCCGGAUUAAUACCGCAUAACAUCCAAGGAUCAAAGGGGGCUUCGGCUCUCGCCUGGAGAGGGGUCCGCGCCCGAUUAGCUUGUUGGUGAGGUAAUGGCUCACCAAGGCUGCGAUCGGUAGCCGGCCUGAGAGGGUGAUCGGCCACACUGGAACUGAGACACGGUCCAGACUCCUACGGGAGGCAGCAGUGGGGAAUUUUGCGCAGUGGGGGAAACCCUGACGCAGCAACGCCGCGUGGAGGAUGAAGGCCCUUGGGUUGUAAACUCCUGUCAGCGGGGAAGAAAGGUCGCGGGUUAAUAACCCGACGGCUCUGACGGUACCCGCAGAGGAAGCCCCGGCUAACUCUGUGCCAGCAGCCGCGGUAAUACAGAGGGGGCGAGCGUUAUUCGGAAUUAUUGGGCGUAAAGGGCGCGUAGGCGGCUUGGCAAGUGGAAGGUGAAAUCCCUCGGCUCAACUGAGGAACUGCCCUCCAAACUGCUUUGCUUGAGUCCGGGAGAGGUGAGUGGAAUUCCCAGUGUAGCGGUGAAAUGCGUAGAUAUUGGGAGGAACACCGGUGGCGAAGGCGGCUCACUGGACCGGUACUGACGCUGAGGCGCGAAAGCGU